UUAUGACAAUUUUAAGUUUUAUUCUGGCUUAAAAAUUAUUAUUAAAUAUAAUAACAUGCGAUUUUUUAUUCUAAAAGAUUUUUUAGCAGUUAAUGAAUUUUUAUAAAUAAGUUAAUUUAGUUAAAGUAAAUUUAGUUAAUAUUGAUUAAAUAUGUGCCAGCAAUCGCGGUUAAACAUAGGAUAUAAGUAAUUUUAUAUUAGGAUGGAGUAAAAUUUGAAUUUAUUCUUAUAAUUGAAAUUUAGGGUGAAAUUUAAUUUUGAUUAUUUAGAUUUAAAAUUUGUUAAUUGAAUCUUUGAAAUAUUAAAAAUAAACUAGGAUUAGAUACCCUAUUAUUUAAUAAUUAAAAAUUAAUCUUAAAUAUUAAUAGUUAUGAUCUUUAAACUUAAAGAAUUUGACGGUAUUUUAUCCUUUUAGAGGAAUCUGUUCUGUAAAUGAUAAUACACGAAUUUAUGUACUUAAUUUUGUUUAGCUUGUAUAUCAUUGUCAAAAAAUUAUCUUCGAGAAAGUUUAUUUUUGGAAUAAAAUAUUAUUUAUUAUGUCAAAUCAUGAUGCAGUUUAUAAUUAAGAUUGAAAUGGAUUACAAUUUUAGAGUAAACGAAUGAAUUGUUUAAUGUAAUUAUUGAAGUUGGAUUUAAAUGUAAAUUUAUUAAUUGUUAAAUUGAUUAAGGUUCUAAAAUAUGUACAUAUCGCCCGUCGCUCUCAUUUAAAAUGGGAUAAGUCGUAACAAAGUAGAUGUACUGGAAAGUGUAUCUAGAAAG
rnacentral:ncRNA from 1 species